ensembl:snRNA U7 U7 small nuclear RNA
AAAUGUCAUGGCUCUUUUAGAAUUUGUACAGCAGGUUUUCUGGUUUUUGCCGGAAAGCCCCC